rnacentral:rRNA from 1 species
CCUACGGGAGGCAUCAGUGGGGAAUAUUGCACAAUGGGGGAAACCCUGAUGCAGCGACGCCGCGUGAGUGAAGAAGUAUCUCGGUACGUAAAGCUCUAUCAGCAGGGAAGAAAAUGACGGUACCUGACUAAGAAGCCCCGGCUAACUACGUGCCAGCAGCCGCGGUAAUACGUAGGGGGAAAGCGUUACCCGGUUUAACUGGGUGUAACGGGAGCGUGGACGGCAGCACAGGUCUGGAGUGAAAUCCCGGGGUUUAACCCCGGAACUGCUUUGGAAACUGUGCGGCGGGAGUGCAGGAGGGGUAAGCGGAAUUCCGAGUGUAGCGGUGAAAUGCGUAGAUAUUAGGAGGAACACCGGUGGCGAAGGCGGCUUACUGGACUGUAACUGACGUUGAGGCUCGAAAGCGUGGGGAGCAAACAGGAUUAGAUAUCCGAGUAGUC